rnacentral:rRNA from 1 species
AAGCCUGAUGCAGCGACGCCGCGUGAGGGAUGACGGCCUUCGGGUUGUAAACCUCUUUCGCUCAUGGUCAAGCCGCAACUGUGGUUGUGGUGAGGGUAGUGGGUAAAGAAGCGCCGGCUAACUACGUGCCAGCAGCCGCGGUAAUACGUAGGGCGCGAGCGUUGUCCGGAAUUAUUGGGCGUAAAGGGCUUGUAGGCGGUUGGUCGCGUCUGCCGUGAAAUCCUCUGGCUUAACUGGGGGCGUGCGGUGGGUACGGGCUGACUUGAGUGCGGUAGGGGAGACUGGAACUCCUGGUGUAGCGGUGGAAUGCGCAGAUAUCAGGAAGAACACCGGUGGCGAAGGCGGGUCUCUGGGCCGUUACUGACGCUGAGGAGCGAAAGCGUGGGGAGCGAACAGGAUUAGAUACCCUGGUAGUCCACGCUGUAAACGUUGGGCACUAGGUGUGGGGGCCACCCGUGGUUUCUGCGCCGUAGCUAACGCUUUAAGUGCCCCGCCUGGGGAGUACGGCCGCAAGGCUAAAACUCAAAGGAAUUGACGGGGGCCCGCACAAGCGGCGGAGCAUGCGGAUUAAUUCGAUGCAACGCGAAGAACCUUACCAAGGCUUGACAUAUACUGGACCGCAUCAGAGAUGGUGUUUCCCUUCGGGGCUGGUAUACAGGUGGUGCAUGGUUGUCGUCAGCUCGUGUCGUGAGAUGUUGGGUUAAGUCCCGCAACGAGCGCAACCCUUGCCCUAUGUUGCCAGCACGUGAUGGUGGGGACUCGUGGGGGACUGCCGGGGUUAACUCGGAGGAAGGUGGGGAUGACGUCAAAUCAUCAUGCCCCUUAUGUCUUGGGCUUCACGCAUGCUACAAUGGUUGGUACAGAGGGUUGCGAUAUCGUGAGGUGGAGCGAAUCCCUUAAAGCCAGUCUCAGUUCGGAUUGGGGUCUGCAACUCGACCCCAUGAAGGUGGAGUCGCUAGUAAUCGCAGAUCAGCAACGCUGCGGUGAAUACGUUCUCGGGCCUUGUACACACCGCCCGUCACGUCACGAAAGUUGGUAACACCCGAAGCCCAUGGCCUAACCGUUUUUGCGGGGGGAGUGGUCGAAGGUGGGAUUGGCGAUUGGGACGAAGUCGUAACAAGGUAGCCGUACCGGAAGGUGCGGCUGG